CGGUUGGCUAACGUGAAGAAGAGAUUUUCAGCACCUGGAUUUGAAUGGACAUUUGAGUGGAUUAUUUUAGUAACAGAAACGUAUCUUCAAAAAUAUGUUUGUUUGCAGCACGUAAUUUCUUCCCUGUAAAAAUUCUGUAGAAGUCUAACCAUUGCAAAAUGCACUUCUGAAGAUAUCAGCAAACCAGUGGCUAAUGUUGCUUGCUUGUUUUGUGCUCGUUAAUUUUGCUGAAUGUGAAAACUACGAAGAUCUCAGAAAACCAGUGGCCUCAUCCUGCUUUCUUAGUUUAUUCUCUGAUCGACAAUCUUGGAUGGUCUUUCAAGAUAGUUGUACGAUUAUGGCGUUUAAACCAAAUAUAUAUUCAUUGUAAUACAUUUUGAAUAAAUAAAUAUUAAUUGUAUGAGUUUAGUAUUGAAGUUAUUGUAAUAUUGAAUAAAUAAAUAUUAAUUGUAUUCAGUA